rnacentral:SRP_RNA from 1 species
GAUAGCUGGGUCCCGCGCAACGGAAGGUUAUGAACCCCGUCAGAUCCGGAAGGAAGCAGCGGCAGUAACCGCCACCGUGUGCCGCGGGGUAGCCCAGCUAUCAGCUCUU